UUCCGGUUGAUCCUGCCGGACCUGACUGCUAUCGGAAUGAUACUAAGCCAUGCGAGUCAUUGUAGCAAUACAAGGCAGACGGCUCAGUAACGCGUAGUCAAUCUACCCUGUGGACGGGAAUAACCUCGGGAAACUGAGAAUAAUGCCCGAUAGAACAUUAUGCCUGGAAUGGUUUAUGUUUGAAAUGAUUUAUCGCCAUAGGAUGGGACUGCGGCCUAUCAGUUUGUUGGUGAGGUAAUGGCCCACCAAGACUAUUACAGGUACGGGCUCUGAGAGGAGUAGCCCGGAGAUGGGUACUGAGACACGGACCCAGGCCCUAUGGGGCGCAGCAGGCGAGAAAACUUUGCAAUGUGCGAAAGCACGACAAGGUUAAUCCGAGUGGUUUCUGCUAAAGAAACCUUUUGUCGGUCCUAGAAACACCGACGAAUAAGGGGUGGAGCAAGUUCUGGUGUCAGCCGCCGCGGUAAAACCAGCACCUCAAGUGGUCAGGAUGAUUAUUGGGCCUAAAGCAUCSGUAGCCUGCUUUGUAAGUUUUCGGUUAAAUCCAUAUGCUCAACAUAUGGGCUGCCGGGAAUACUGCAAAGCUAGGGAGUGGGAGAGGUAGACGGUACUUGAUAGGAAGGGGUAAAAUCCUUUGAUCUAUUGAUGACCACCUGUGGCGAAGGCGGUCUACCAGAACACGUCCGACGGUGAGGGAUGAAAGCUGGGGGAGCAAACCGGAUUAGAUACCCGGGUAGUCCCAGCUGUAAACCAUGCAAACUCAAUGAUGCAUUGGCUUGUGGCCAAUGCAGUGUUGCAGGGAAGCCGUUAAGUUUGCCGCCUGGGAAGUACGUACGCAAGUAUGAAACUUAAAGGAAUUGGCGGGGGAGCACCACAAGGGGUGAAGCCUGCGGUUCAAUUGGAGUCAACGCCGGG
rnacentral:rRNA from 1 species